CUUACAUCGCAGCACACUUGUAACUUGUCAUGUCCCCCCGCUGGGGACCUUGGGUUAAGGUGUUCACAAUUCUUGGUAAGAGCCAACAGUCACACUGCCUAGCAGUGACACAUUAACCCACUGUUUGUGAAUCGGUCCCAGACAAGUUAUUCAAUCUCCUGGCAGAAGUCCAGAUCUCUGAGUCCAGAACACGAAGACUGAAAAGAAAAUCAGAUGUUGGGUCCAGGCCAAACUUGGCCUCCAACUCAUUGUGUAACCUUGGGCAAGUCAUUCUGCUGCACUGGGCUUCAUUUUCCUAUCAAAAGCAGAAAGAACUCAAACCCGAGUCAAGAUCCACGAGCUCCCUUCCAACUCUGACAUUCUAAGAAUCAGAGAUUCUGUGACUUCUCCCUGCAGAAUGCUUGGCUGCAUCACGUUCCUGUUGACCUGAUUCCAGUAAGCAUGGUGAACGGUAGGCUUUCCCUGACUGUAGAUGAUAGCAACUGUCUCUGAAAAUAACUCAUCUGGCUCAGACAGAGGGCAGAGCCACACCUGUCCCCAGUCCACACUAAUGGAACUCCUCUGAGUUUUCUGUUUGCUCAGCUUCCCCCCCCUUACCACACUAGCCUCAGGUAGAACAGCACUCCUAGUUCCCUACCUCUCCUUCUUGUGGCUCCCUGGAGUUGCAUAAUUGUCUGGGAUAAUGUAGAAGGCAGAGAAGACUUAGCAAAAGGAGCCCACCAGCCUCCCUGUAGGAGGAGACCAGGACACUGGGGACAGGGAGCAGGAUGGAAGAGUAUCUGGUUUGCUGUUAUGAGGAAAAAGGACCCAAGGGAGAAGGAAGAAAAGGAUGUUAGAAACAUGUGGUAGUAACAGAACCAGGACCUCAAAUCCAGGUUUGCUGACUCUUGGCCAUGGAAGACUGCUUCCCUGAGACAGCUGGCAGGACGAGGGACAGGGAAGCUUGCCCAACUGAGUGGCUUCCACUUUCUCUCCCUGGACUCCCCCUCCCCCAUCAAAUGUUUCUUCGCUGAGCGAAAACAGCAGAAGUAAUACGGCUACAAAUCAAGAGAAGCCCUGCUUCUGAAUCUGCCUGUGUCCACCUGACCUUUCUGUGUGACUGUGGGCAAGUCGUCUUCCCACCCAGAGAGCAGUUUUGAUAUCUGCACAACCGGGAGGUUGGCCCGCUCAAGGGCAGCAUGCUUCUGGCAUUCCUACUGGAGUUUCCCCUUGCCAUGUCCGCAGCAGACACUACCGGUCACAGGCUCUGGUUAUUCCGCGCCUGUGUGCAGCUUCAGAAACCUUUUCAACACUACUGAUGGACCAGAAAUGGCCAAUGAGAUGAGACUGAUUCAUGAGUGUACUAAGCGAUCUAAACUUAAAAGUACCACCCACGUUUCCACCUCUGAUUUCCCAUGGCUCCAAGGAUCUGAUCUGAGAACCCAAGGAAGACCCUGGACUGAUGGUGAAGACUCGUAAAGAAGGCUAUCUCUCACCUCUGACCUCUCAGCGGGGCUAUACAUUCUCUUGCAUGCACUCUAGAGCAAAGAUGGGGUCAGAAUAGGACACCCAGAUGCUGAAAUCUCACACUCCCAUGGGUCUAUCAGGUCUACAGCAGAGAAAGGAAGAGAUAUGGGUAGAAAUCAAAGUCUCUGGUCAGCGUUGGGAACUGAUGUCCUACCGCAACUGGUGCCACCAGGACCUUCCUCUCCCCAACCACCCCAUGUCAUAAGGGCGAUCAGGCAGUGAUGGCAACAAAGUGAACAACUCCAGCUACCCCAAGAUAAUUUAUGCCAACACAGCCACAUGCCAACGUGUGGACUCACUAUGUAGCCCGGGCUGGUCUCCAGCUCGUGGCAGUCCUCUUGCUUCAGCCUCCCCAGUACUGGGAUUACAGGUGUGCACCUGGCCAAAUGUUGUAGUGAGUUUAACACACCUAGCACAACUAUUAGUACGCAACUAUAGUAGGUACUUAAUAACCGCAGCUACUCCACUAAAGCAUCUCAAGCUUUGUUCAUGGGGACAGGAGGGACCCCCCCCCCCCCCACUGCACCCAAAUGUAUCCAUCUCAAGGCCUGCAGGCGCAGCAUGCAUGAAGUUCUCACUCAGAUACCCAAUGCCGUCAAACAUAUUCACACACACCUUGCAUCAACCCUCGGGAGGAUUCUGAGAUGCCAAGGCUGGUUACCAAGGAAAGGUGUUUAGGAGCCUCCCCUGGGGAGUAGCCGCAACUUUCCAGGGCUGUUGAGAACGGAGGCCUGCCCCACAGCAAGAGCCUCACUCACAGGACCCUACAGAGGUCAAAGAAUUUGUGGACUUUCAUGCCAUUUGCUCCCGUUCACAUGUUCACAAGCAAACACGCAUGUGCACAUGUCCCUAAAUUCCCUCUUCCUGGAAACUGUCGGGGCUUUCACUCUACCUCACUCUCUCCCCUCGCCUCCCUUGGGAGGAAAGGCUGCCACAGUCCUUGAAAUCAGCAUUCCCUGAGAUUUGUUUUCUUAGCAGGGAGCUGCAGGGGAGGAGAGAACAGGUUGGCUUAGGCUCAAACGACUGAACAGAAGGGGCUUUGAGAAGAAAAGUGACUUCUUCCCAAGUUCAUCGGAGGUCCUGCCGUGGGGACUGGAAUCCAAAGUGCCCGCCCUAUCUCUGAUCAGCCUGCUUCUCACACCACAGCCACAUGCUGGGCCUGGGUUUCCCUCCCAAGAGUCAUGAGAAAAUUCCGUGCCUCACCGAGCUAUUUUCUCCUUCUUUGGUUUAUAGGAUUCUACAUUUUGAAAAGUUCUGAUAAAUGGUG
ensembl:lncRNA